CCAAUAGCGUACAUUAAAGUUGUUGCAGUUAAAAAGCUCGUAGUUGAACCUCAGGGUCUACCAAUUGGUCAGGCUUAAUUGUCUGCACUGGUGAGAUGGAUCUCUACCUUCUGAGGAACUUUCAUGCCCUUUAUUUGGUGUGAUGGGAAAUCAGGACUGUUACUUUGAAAAAAUUAGAGUGUUUAAAGCAGACUAUCGUCUGAAUACAUUAGCAUGGAAUAAUGAAAUAGGACGGACUGAUUCUAUUUCGUUGGUUUCUAGGAUCACCGUAAUGAUUAAUAGGGAUAGUUGGGGGCAUUAGUAUUCAAUUGUCAGAGGUGAAAUUCUUGGAUUUAUUGAAGACUAACUACUGCGAAAGCAUUUGCCAAGGAUGUUUUCAUUAAUCAAGAACGAAAGUUAGGGGAUCGAAGACGAUCAGAUACCGUCGUAGUCUUAACCAUAAACUAUGCCGACUAGGGAUCGGAUGAUGUUAAUUUUUUAAUGACUCAUUCGGCGCCUUACG
rnacentral:rRNA from 1 species